ACAGACAUAAAAGAGACCAAGACAUUUUAUCUUUGUCUCUCUCAUGCCUGUUC
rnacentral:pre_miRNA from 1 species